CAGACAAAGGUUUCUUGUUUUAAUCGGUCAAAUAAUUACUUGUUUCCAAUAUGGUUAUUUAAUUUCAAAGUUGUAAUUUUUGCUUUUGAUAUAUAUUUUUGGGGUCUUUUCUGUUUAAGACUGACUCGGAUGAAGAAAAUGAAUGUUCCCACAUCACUACCAGAUCAACAUUAAGCAGUUGUAAGGACAAGGAUGAUGACUGUUUGGAAGUUGAUGGUCCACAAAUCUACACUGGCAGACCUAGCACCACCAGGGUUUCUAUAAGUGAUGGAGCAAUGAGAAGUAAGGAUGACCCCUGUACUAGCAGUCAUGAUGGAGAUGGCAACCCUGGCACUAGCAGUGGUGAUGAACAUGGCUAUGGCAUCAAACACGCCACCAGGAGUUGUUGAAAGGCCUACAGCAAUGCAAGGAAGUGGAACUAGAGGUCACGAUGGAGGCUGCCUUGCAAGAAAUGAUGGCAACCCUGGCACAAGCAGUCAUAAUGAAGACUACUCUUCAUAUUUAACACUUCUUGCUGUUCUUCCUGUUGACUAUUCAGAUGAUGAGGAAUUAAACCAGGCUAUAAUUGCCAGUAUGGAGAGUCCAACAUUCUGUGAAGGACUGAAAACACUCGGGGUUCUGGAGAAAGUCUGAAGGCAUCCAGAAAGCUUUCGCCUCCUUUUCUGCUAUGAGCCAAGCCCACUGACUGCUGACCAGGUGGAUGAUGUCUUCAGCAUUUGGCUGUCUCCAGAAAGGAGCAACAAGAGCUGCUGAGGAGAUAGUUGUUCCCUUCUGGAGAGACUCCAGGAUGCAGAGGGUAAUUGACAGUUUAGUGUAUGUGUCUAUUUAUCUUUUAUGGCUAUUUUUUACAAAACACUUGAUUGUUAAAAGUGAUUGGUGUUUUAUAAAUGUAUUGCUAUCAGUUUGACAAUUUAUUUAAUAUCAGCUGAUAGAAAUUGCUGUUUCAUAUACACGUUAAUUUGACCAACUAGCACUCACAAUGUUUUUCUAUUUUUAAUAGAAGGGCCAUCCAAGCUACAGAAAAUAUUGUCUUUUGCAACUAGAGCAUUUGUGUUGCCACCUAUUGGGUUUUCUCCAACUCCCUCUGUACAGUUCAUUCAUAACGAAGAUGACGACUUCUCUUCUACACCGAUGUUCCUUGUGGCCAACACAUGUGUGAACUACAUAAAGUUGCCACUACAUGCGUCAUACCAACUGUUCAAACAGAAGUUUGACUUUGCACUGGGAAACACAUAUGGGUUUGGCAGGGCAUAAACAAACUUUAAUUUCUGAAUGUCCACUUCCCCUUUAAAUGAUGCCUUUGGCAGUUAAGUUUUCAAUUUUUAAAGAAAAUUGAGUCAUGGUGUAUUUUGUAUUUACACCGCAAUUCAACUGACUCUGGUAACGUUUGAGACAAAUGUUCACACUUAUGUCUCGUUUUCAUACCAACUGUUAAAGGUAAGACUAUUAGAAUUCAGGCCAUUAGGCGUGAACAUAGUAUCAUGCUCUGUGUUUCAUGUUAUCUGUGCUUAUGUCUGUCUGUUUCCCCCCCCCUGUCUCUUAUCUGUCCGUCUCUUAUGUCUGUCUCUCCCUCUGCCUGUCUCAGUCUCCGCUUGUCAUUUAGAAAAAUGUUUUUGGUCAUUUGGUUUUAAUAAACAAUAUUAAAACUUUAA